AAGGAGUCUAACAUCUAUGCGAGUGUUCGGGUGUCAAACCCCUACGCGUAAUGAAAGUGAACGGAGGUGGGAAGGGUAACCUGCACCAUCGACCGAUCCUGAUGUCCUCGGAUGGAUUUGAGUAAGAGCAUAGCUGUUGGGACCCGAAAGAUGGUGAACUAUGCCUGAAUAGGGUGAAGCCAGAGGAAACUCUGGUGGAGGCUCGCAGCGGUUCUGACGUACAAAUCGAUCGUCAAAUUUGGGUAUAGGGGCGAAAGACUAAUCGAACCAUCUAGUAGCUGGUUCCUGC
rnacentral:misc_RNA from 1 species